rnacentral:rRNA from 1 species
GACAGAGGGUGCAAACGUUGUUCGGAAUUACUGGGCGUAAAGCGCACGUAGGCGGUUCGUUAAGUCGGAUGUGAAAGCCCUCGGCUCAACUGAGGAAGUGCACCCGAAACUGGCGAGCUUGAGUACGAAAGAGGAUCGCGGAAUUCCCGGUGUAGAGGUCGAAAUUCGUAGAUAUCGGGAGGAACACCGGUGGCGAAGGCGGCGAUCUGGGUCGAUACUGACGCUGAGGUGCGAAAGCGUGGGGGAGCAAACAGG